rnacentral:rRNA from 1 species
AUACAGGGGGUGCGAGCGUUAAUCGGAAUUACUGGGCGUAAAGAGUACGUAGGCGGUUGCUUAAGUCAGAUGUGAAAGCCCCGGGCUCAACCUGGGAACUGCAUUUGAAACUGAGUGACUAGAGUUUAAGAGAGGGGAGUAGAAUUCCGGGUGUAGCGGCGAAAUGCGUAGAGAUCCGGAGGAAUACCAGUGGCGAAGGCGGCUCCCUGGCUUAAAACUGACGCUGAGGUACGAAAGCGUGGGUAGCAAACAGGAUUAGAAACCCUAGUAGUCC